rnacentral:rRNA from 1 species
UACAGAGGUCCCAAGCGUUGUUCGGAUUCACUGGGCGUAAAGGGUGCGUAGGUGGUGGGGUAAGUCGGAUGUGAAAGCUCGGAGCUCAACUCCGAAAUGGCAUUGGAAACUACCCUGCUAGAGGAUUGGAGGGGGGACUGGAAUACUUGGUGUAGCAGUGAAAUGCGUAGAUAUCAAGUGGAACACCAGUGGCGAAGGCGACUACCUGGACAAUUGCUGACGCUCAGGCACGAAAGCGUGGGGAGCAAAAGGG